ACCUUCAAGACUGACAUUAAUAAUCUCACUCAUUAUGGCAUGAUUAAAAAAAAAAAAAAGAUAUUAUUCAUGUCAGCAUAAUAUAAUGUAACACGCAACAUUAUAUAUUCUGCUGGAUUGCACGGCCCCGGAGGUCACCUGCAAAAUGUCACGGAAAGAAACACAAAACGACUACAUGUGUAAGAGAACCACAAAGAGACACAACUAGUUAACCUUUCUGGGUGUCCUGCUCCCACACAGUAAGGGCCCUUACACAUGUCAGGGCCCGCCUUUUGUCUCGUAAUCCAUCCAUGUGUCUUUUGUUUUUUUCUCUUUCUGAUACUGAUUGUAAUGAAAUGCAGACUUGUCACACAUCAACAGCAAGUCAAGAGUUUCACCCUCACAUACAAAACCCAGGUGUGUCUCACAUCAGGGUUUCAAUUCAUGUUUGAUGAACAGGUUAAGACCCUCAACUCUCCACACACACUCUUCACAUUGCCUGCAGACCUGUUUGCACUGAUGAGAAUGUGAUUUUUUGAUAGUUUUAACAUAAUGGAGAAAUUGCAACAAAUCUAUUGCCCCUGCUGUAUUUAAUCCUCAAAAAAAAUCUUAAUUUUGAAUGUUACCAUUUUCUCUUCCGUGUUUCCUGCAGUGUAAAAAUUAUGUUUUCAUCAGUGCAUGUAGGAGCCAUGAUGUAUUUCACGAAACCAACUCUAUGCACUGUUUGCACCUCGACGUUACCAGUACAUGUCUAAUAGUCAGAUGUAUCUCAAAAUGAUGACUAUGCCUUCUUAGUUUCUUAAGGUAUUCCAAAUAAUCGGAAGUUAUAAUAACCUAUGGGGACUACACAUCGUGGACCAACUUAACGUUUCAUUAGUGUGUGUUUUUUGUGCCUCUUUUUCUUCAUUUGUUUGUUUUUUCUGUUUUGUUUUUUUUAUUUAUGAUUAUUUAUGUUUGAGGUUUUAUGAAAUAUUUCAAAUUUUCUUUGCUUAUGUAGCCAAUCCAAACAGCUCUUAAUGUCUUUCUUUCACUUAAACAUGAAUCACUUAAACUGUUUUAUAGAGGAGCACAGCGUCUAAGCGGGGCUUGAAGUGAACCUCAUGGACCAUCGUAAUGCUUGUACUGUGUUUUACUCGGCCGUUACUUCAGUCAGAUUUACCUAGCCAGUGCAGUGUGUAGGUAAACUUGUCAAUAAUUAAAUAUCUAUCACAUAAACACUACUUGAGUUGAACUUCACACUUGUCAAAUGCUACAGUAAUAAAUUAAACUAAACAGGAACAAACUAUUGUUGAGAAGUGUUAUUUGACUGUAAAGUAAUGCCGGCUGGUAAACACGGUGAGGUCCCACUCACCGGUGCCGAUUCAGACUCUACCAGUCACGAGACCUGAGCUCUGUCAUCAAACUAGAUCUAUGUUGCCUUCCGUGUUGGUUGUGUGUGUAAACAUGUCUUCUGUUGAGUUUGACCCUCUUUCCUGGACUGUAUCACGGGGUUGUCAAUGUUCUGUGUGUGUACACGUGCUGCACAAGGUUAUUCACAAGCAGAAUGGCAUAUUUUGUGCAAUUGAUUUAUUUUUAUAGUAUUUAAACUGUUUUUUGGUGAGAACAUCGUACCAGAUGUCUUAUUUGGAGGUGGGAGGGGGACUGUAAGGGUUCAUAUCCAAUCUGUGGACAGCUUGGUAGAUCAAUGAAUGGGGCAAAUGUCUACUAAUAAAAUCCUAAUUUCAGUUUA